AUGCCGGAGCGCCGGGCCAUGGGUGCCCAGGAGGUUCAGCUCCUCCUCGUCUUCCUCAUCUCAGUCGUCCUCCCGCUCCUCCUCCCACUCUUCCGACUUGCCGACGCUAUUCGGAAUCAAGGCCGAGCCCGCUGCAGAGACACUGCUCGGUCGGCGCACCUACAGCGCCGGCAUCGUCAUCAACGAGGGCGGCAGGCACGCCCCCUCCUCGGCUCCUCCACCGGGGCUCACCGUCGUGAAGCCGGAGCCCGGGCUCGCUGGUGGCGUCAAGGAGGAGGAGAUCAACGAUGCGGUGGCCCUCAAAUGGGCGUGCGAUGA
rnacentral:rRNA from 1 species